rnacentral:rRNA from 1 species
ACUUCCUUGUCAAAGCCUGAUCUUGUCAGAUCUUAGAAGCUAAGCAGAGCUGGGCCUGGUUAGUAGUUUGAUGGGAGACCACAGGUGCACAGUGGGGU